UGGCGGCAGCUAUACAUGCAAGUCGAGCGCUGGAAGCUAAUUUCAUCCCUUCGGGAUGAAAUUAGUGGAAAGAGCGGCGGACGGGUGAGUAACACGUGGGCAACCUACCUAUAAGACUGGGAUAACUCGCGGAAACGUGAGCUAAUACCGGAUAAUACUUUUUAUUGCAUAAUAAGAAGUUUGAAAGGCGGCGUAAGCUGUCACUUAUAGAUGGGCCCGCGGCGCAUUAGCUAGUUGGUGAGGUAAAGGCUCACCAAGGCAACGAUGCGUAGCCGACCUGAGAGGGUGAUCGGCCACACUGGGACUGAGACACGGCCCAGACUCCUACGGGAGGCAGCAGUAGGGAAUCUUCCGCAAUGGACGAAAGUCUGACGGAGCAACGCCGCGUGAGUGAAGAAGGUUUUCGGAUCGUAAAACUCUGUUGUUAGGGAAGAACAAGUCAGGUAGUAACUGACCUGACCUUGACGGUACCUAACCAGAAAGCCACGGCUAACUACGUGCCAGCAGCCGCGGUAAUACGUAGGUGGCAAGCGUUGUCCGGAUUUAUUGGGCGUAAAGCGCUCGCGGGCGGUCUUUUAAGUCUGAUGUGAAAGCCCACGGCUUAACCGUGGAGGGUCAUUGGAAACUGGAGGACUUGAGUGCA
rnacentral:rRNA from 1 species